GGGGGCGGGGGUUUUGCACCCGCUCCCUCUCCAGGGCCUGGAUAAAUACGGAGCCGUGGCGGCCGCCCCGACACCUUCUCCUCUGGGCCCCCAGCGUCCCUGCAAAGCCGGCGGCUGAAGCCACGCGAGCAAUGGACCCCCAGGACUGUCCCUGUGCGAUCGGUGGCACCUGCACCUGUGGUAACAACUGCAAAUGCACAAACUGUAAAUGCACAUCGUGCAGGAAAAGCUGUUGUUCCUGUUGCCCACCUGGAUGCGCCAAGUGUGCCCAAGGCUGUAUCUGCAAAGGACAACCUUCCACCAA